rnacentral:rRNA from 1 species
AAGGGUAAAUCCUGAAUCCCGGAAGGACGACCAUGGCGAAAGCGUUAAAAUGUACGAAUCUGACGGUAAGGAACGAAGGCUAGGGUAGCAAACCGGAUUAGAUACCCGGGUAGUCCUAGCUGUAAACAUUGCCCAUUUGAUGUUGCUUUCCCGUUGAGGGAAGGCAGUGUCGGAGCGAAGGUGUUAAAUGGGCCGCUUGGGAAGUAUGGUCGCAAGACUGAAACUUAAAGGAAUUGGCGGGGGAGCACCGCAACGGGAGGAAUGUGCGGUUUAAUUGGAUUCAACGCCGGAAAACUCACCGGGAACGACCUGUGCAUGAGAGUCAACUUGACGAGCUUACUCGAUAGCAGGAGAGGUGGUGCAUGGCCGUCGUCAGCUCGUACCGUAGGGCGUUCACUUAAGUGUGAUAACGAGCGAGACCCACAUCUUUAAUUGCAAAUGUAUAUGGGAAUAUGCAUGCACUUUAGAGAAACCGCCAGCGCUAAGCUGGAGGAAGGAGUGGUCGACGGCAGGUCAGUACGCCCCGAAUUUCCCGGGCUACACGCGCAUUACAAAGAACGGGACAAUACGUUGCAACCUCGAAAGAGGGAGCCAAUCGCGAAACCCGUCCAUAGUUAGGAUUGA